rnacentral:rRNA from 1 species
CCCUUAGAUGUUCUGGGCGGCCCGCGCACUACAAUGGCGUGUGCAGCGAGUGCCGAAGUAGAGUUUUCCGAGGUAUUCUUGCAAUGCUCGUUUUGAUGGGGAUAGACCCUUGCAACUGUUGGUUUUGAACGAGGAAUUCCUUGUAAGCAUGGUUUAUCAUCCGACGCUGAAUGCGUCCCUGCCCUUUGUACACACCGCCCGUCGCUCCUACCGGUGAGUCGUCCGGUGAAGUUCGUAGACCUCGUGAUCGCGGAUCACUGGGGGAAGCAAAAUGAACCUCGCGGUUUAGAGGAAGGAGAAGUCGUAACA